UACGUAGGGUGCAAGCGUUGUCCGGAAUUAUUGGGCGUAAAGAGCUCGUAGGCGGUUUGUCGCGUCUGCUGUGAAAACUCGGGGCUUAACCCCGGGCCUGCAGUGGGUACGGGCAGACUAGAGUGCGGUAGGGGGAGACUGGAAUUCCUGGUGUAGCGGUGAAAUGCGCAGAUAUCAGGAGGAACACCGGUGGCGAAGGCGGGUCUCUGGGCCGAUACUGACGCUGAGGAGCGAAAGCGUGGGGGAGCAAACAGG
rnacentral:rRNA from 1 species